CGUGGUGUAUGGUAGCACAUUCGGCUCAUAUUCGAGAGGUCCAGGUUUGAGUCCUGGCG
rnacentral:tRNA from 1 species